CCGAGUUUGCCCCGAGCGCAAGUAAAAAACCUGCGAGAGAAGUAUUACUCUGCCCCCCCCCAACGUUUGUCUCUCUAUAUCCAUCCAUCGGUCUUCUUCUGGGCUGGAAGGAAGCCGUCGUGGCAGGCUCGAAGAACUCUCUUUCUACCAUUACAGGUGGGACGGGAGAUCGGAGGACUUGCUGCCCGGCAGGUUUUACACAGGACUACCACACGUAAGGUACGGAGCGGCAGGCGCUAGUUCGGGUCGUCAAGUAGUGUUCAAGCUGGGUCCAGCGGUCUCCCCACCGGGGGGAAUCCCGCGGCCUUGCGGGGCACGGCGGUCUUCACUUCAAUGCGGUUGUUUUGCGCCGGUGGGAACGAAGAAGAACUUGCUACAACUCGACUGCUUUUGGUUGGCCCGUUGAAGAGAAGAAAGGAGGGAAAGGAGGAUCCACGACGAACUACCGGCGGCAGCGGCAGAGUGUGAAAAGAACCCCGUGAAAGAAAAUCGUUAUGCGAUGUCGGGCGAGAGGCGUCUCGCCCAGCUUUGCUAAGCUCGAACCAAAGCGUACCCACUAUUCAACCCCAAACAAACUCUGAAUCUGAACUCAAAAGGAGGCCGGCAACGCGUCGCUUUGUCGACUGCCGCGCGCGCCUUCUCAACCUUUAACGUUGUAAA
rnacentral:misc_RNA from 1 species